CAAUAGCGUAUAUUAAAGUUGUUGCGGUUAAAAAGCUCGUAGUUGGAUUUCUGUUGAGGAAGUCCGGUCCGCACUUUGUGCGUGAUCUGGUUCUGCCUCGGCAUCCUCGCGGGGAGCAUGCUGCGCUUGAUUGCGUGGUGUGGUAUUCGCGACUUUUACUUUGAGGAAAUUAGAGUGUUCACGGCAGACAAUUGUCUUGAAUACGUUAGCAUGGAAUAAUAAUAUAGGACCUUGGUUCUAUUUUGUUGGUUUCUAGAACUAAGGUAAUGAUUAAUAGGGAUAAUUGGGGGCAUUUGUAUUAACACGUCAGAGGUGAAAUUCUUGGAUUGUGUUACGACAAACUACUGCGAAAGCAUUUGCCAAGGAUGUUUUCAUUGA
rnacentral:rRNA from 1 species